UGCCCAAUUUGCUUCUAAUUUUCAGACAUUUAACGGUCAUAUGUCUUCUAUAAAUUGGCAAAAAGGCGCGUUUGUACCUAUUCUAGUUUAAACAUGACGAAUCUUUAAAAGUGAUUCUGCUUGAUAGCUAUAUGAGAUACUUUCAAGCGCAAGUUCGUUAAUUUCUGGAAAAUAAUUCUGUGGUCCGAUUUGUUUGAGAUUAUCAGAACUUCAACAGCCAGACCUCUUCUAUAGAUGAGCAAAAAGACACGUUUGUACCUGUUCUAGUUUAAGCAUAAGGGAUUUUUAGAAGCAACUCUGUUUGAGAACUAUAUGAAAUACUAUCAAGCGCAAGUUCGUUAAUUUCUGGAAAAUAGCUCUGUAGUCCGAUUUUUUUGAAAUUAUCAGAACUUUAACAGCCAGACCUCUUCUAUAGAUGGGCAAAAAGACACGUUUGUACCUGUUCUAGUUUAAACAUGACGAAUCGCUAAAAGCGAUUCUGCUUGAUAGCUAUAUGAGAUACUAUCAAGCGCAAAUUCGGUAAUUUCUGGAAAAUAGUUCUGUGGUCCGAUUUGUUUGAUAUUAUCAAAACUUCAACAGCCAGAUUUCUUCUACAGAUGAGCAAAAAUACACGUUUGUACCUGUUCUAGAUUAAACAUAAGGAAUUUUUAGAAGCAAUUCUGUUUGAGAGCUAUAUGAACUAAUAUCAAGCGACAGUUAGUUCAUUCCUGGAAAAUAUUCCUUUCACCUAAUUUGCUUCUAAUUUUCAGAAAUUCAACAAUCAGAUGUCUUCUAUAGAUGGGCAAAGAGACACGUGCGUACCUGUUCUAGUUUAAAGAUAAGGAAUUUUUAGAAGCAAUUCUGUUUCAGAGCUAUAUGAAACACUAUCAAGCGCCAGUUAGUUAAUUCUUGGAAAAUAUUCCUUUCGCCCAAUUUGCUUCUAACUUUCAGACAUUCAACGGUCAGAUGUCUUCUAUAAAUGGGCAAAAAGGCGCGUUUGUAUCUCUUCUAGUUUAAACAUGACGAAUCUUUAAAAGCGAUUCUGCUUGAUAGCUAUAUGAGAUACUAUCCAGCGCAAGUUCGUUAAUUUCUGGAAAAUAGCUCUGUAGUCCGAUUCUUUUGAAAUUAGCAGAACUUCAACAGUGAUCUCUUCUAUAGGUGGACAAAGAGACACGUUUCUACCUGCUCUAUUCGUCAAUUCUCAAGCUGGAAUGCUACUCAGAAUUAGUCAGUUUUCCGUUUCUACGUUCUGGGCAUUAACGGGAUUUUUUUCAGAAUAAUUUCAAUGGCAAUCAAUCCAUUGACUGAACAGCAUUAUCAUCGGCGGCAUUAUCUAAUCGCAUUUGUCGCAUUACAAGCGCAAAUAGUUAUCAAGGGCAACCGGUUUUCUUGUCUCGAAACUCGCCACCAAUAAAACUAAAACAACCAUCUUACUUGUAAACGGGCAACAUAAUGGGAAGAGGAUGGGCGAGAUGAGGGGCCUG